GACUUUGCCAAAUUCAUGGAUGAGCUCUGACAGUUUUCUGGUAGGAUUUUCUAGGUAUAGUAUCAUGUCAUUUGCAAACUGAUAGUUUUACUUCUUCCUUUCCAAUUUGGAUUCCUUUUAUUUACUUUUCUCCUUUGAUUGCCAUGGCUAGGACUUCCAAAAUUAUGUUGAAUGGUAGUGGUGAGAGUGGACAUCCUUGUCUUGUUCCUGAUCUUAGUUGGAGUUCUUUCAGCUUUUCACCAUUGAGAAUGGUGUUAGCUAUGCAUUUGUCUUUAUUAUUUUGAAGUAGGUUCCCUCUAUACCCCUUUCUGGAGGUUUUUUUGUUUUAUCAGAAGUGGGUGUUGGAUUUUGUCAAAGGCUUUUUCUGUGUCUAUUGAGAGGAUCAUAUGGUUUUUAUUCUUCAGUUUGUUAAUGUGGUGUAUCACAGUGAUUGAUUUAUGGAUAUUGAAAAGUCCUUGUAUCCCUGGAAUAAGUCCCACUUAUCAUGAUGUACAACUCUUUUAAUGUAUUGUUGGACUUGGUUUGCUAGCACUUUGUUCAGGAUUUUUGCAGAUAUGUUCAUCAGUGAAACUGGCCUGUAAUUUUCUUUUUUGUGGUUUCUUUGUCUGGUUUUGAUAUCAGGGUGAUGGUGGCCUCAUAGAAUGAGUUAGGGAGUGUUCUUUCCUCUGAAAGUUUUUGCAAUAGUUUCAGAAGGAUAGGUGUUGGCUCUUCUCUAAGUGUUUGAUAGAAUUCGCCUGUGAAGCCAUCUGGUCCUGGGCUUUUGUUUGUUGGAAGUUUUUAAAUCACAGUUUCAAUUUCAGUACUUGUGAUUGGUCCAUUCAUCUUUUCUAUUUCGUCUUGGUUUAUUCUUGGAAGAUUGUACUUUUCUAAGAAUUUGUCCAUUUUCUUCUAGGUUUUCCAUUUUAUUGGUGUAUGGUUUCAUAUAGUAGUCUCUUAUGAUCCUUUGUAAUUCUGUGAUGUCUGUUGUAACAUUUCCUUUUUCUUUUCUAAUUUUAUUGAAAUGAGUCCUCUCUUUUUUCUUGAUGAGUCUGGCUAAGGGUUUAUCAAUUUUGUUGAUCUUUUCCAAGAAACACUUUUUAGUUUCAUUGAUCUUGUCUAUGUUUUUUUUGUUUGUUUGUUUCUUUUUCAUUUAUUUCUGCUCUCUGAUCUUUAUGAUUUCUUCUGCUAACUUUAGAUCUUGUCUGUUCUAUUCUUUCUAGUUGCUUUAAGUGUAAAAUUAGGUUGUUUAUUUGUGGCUUUUCUUGUUUUCUGAGUUAAGCUUGUGUUGCUAUAAACUUCCCUCUUAGAACUGCUUUUGCUGCAUCCCAUAGGUUUCGGAUUGUUGUGUCUUUGUUGUCACUUGCUUCUAGGUAUUUUUUAAUUUCCUCUUUGAUGUCUUCAGUGAUCCAUUGGUUGUUUAGUAGCAUGUUUAAUAAUAUUUUGUUUAGUCACCACAUGUUUGUGUAUUUUACAGAUUUUUUCUUGUGCUUGAUUUCCACUCAUAUAGCAUUGUGGUUGGAAAAGAUGCUUGAUAUGAUUUCAGUUUUCUUAACUUUACUGAGGCUUGAUUUGUGGCCCAAAAUGUGAUCAAUCCUAGAGACUGUUCUGUGUGCACUUGGAAGAAUGUGUUCUGCUACUUUUGAAUGGAAUGUUAUAUAAAUAUCUAUCAAGUCCAUCUGGUCUAAUGUGUCAUUUGGGGCCUGUGUUUCCAUGUCAAUUUUCUGUCUGGAUGAUCUGUCCAUUGCUGUAAGUGGGGUGUUAAAGUCCCCCACUGUUAUUGUGUUAUUGUCAGUUUCUCCUUUUGAGGUCGUUAGCAGUUGUCUUAUAGAUUUAGGUGAUCCUAUGUUGGGUGCAUAUGUAUUUACAAUUAUCAUAUCUUCUUCUUGGAUUGAUCCUUUGAUCAUUAUGUAAUGUCCUUCUUUGUCUCUUAUAAUAUUCUUUAUUUUAAGGUCUAUUUUGUCUAAUAUGAGUAUUGCUGCUCCAGUUUUGUUUUGAUUCCCAUUUCAUGAAAUAUUUUCUUCCGUCUUCUCACUUUCAAUUUGUAUGUGUCCCUAGAACUAAAAUGGGUCUCUUGAAGGCAACAUAUAUAUGGGUCUUGUUUUUGUAUACAUUCAGACAGUUUAGGUCUUUUGGUUGGGGCAUCUAGUCCAUUUACAUUUAAGGUAAUUAUUGAUAUGUAUGUUCUUACUGCCAUUUUAUUAACUGUUUUGGGUUUGUUUUUUUGUUGGUCUUUUUUCUUCCCUUCUUCUCUUGUUCUCUUCUCUUUUGGUUUGAUGACUAUCUGUAGUAUUGUGUUUAGAUUGCUUUUUCUCAUUUGCAUGGGCAUCUACUGUAUAUUUUUUGUUUGCACUUACCCUGAAAUAUGUAUGUAUAUAAAUAUAGAAGAUUAUUUAAUGCUGUUGCUCUCUUAAUUGCAAGUGCAUCUCAGUGUCCUGCAUUUGUACCCUCCUCUUCUCACAGUUUCUGAUUUUGGUAGCAUAUUUUUGUGUGGAUGAUUUCCUACCUUUACUAUAUGUAUGCCUUUACUAGUGAGAGCCUUGUCAUUUUGUAAUAUUUUUGUGUCUAGUUGUAGCCUUUUCUUUUCCACCUAGAGAAGUUCUUUAAGUAUUUGUUGUAAAGCUGGUUUAGUGGCUCUGAAUUCUCUUAGCUUUUGCUUGUCUGUGAAGCUUUUGAUUUCUCCUUUGAAUCUGAAUGAGAGCCUUGCCGGGUAGAUUAAUCUUGUUUCAAGUUUUUUUUUUUUUUUCUUUCUUUCAUUACGUUAAGUAUAUCAUGCCACUCCCUUCUGGCUGCAGGGUUGCUGCUGAAAAAUCUGCCGAUAACCUUAUUGGGGUUCCCUUGUAUGUUAUUUGCAUCUUUUCCCUAUUUGCUUUCAGUAUUUUCUCUUUGUCUUUAAUUUUAGUCAGCUUGAAUAAUAUGUGUCUCUGGGUGUUCCUCCUUGGGUUUAUUUUAAAUGGUACUAAUUGUGCUUCUUGGAUUUGAGUGGGUGGUUCCUUUCCCAUGUUAGGGAAGUUUUGGGCUAUUACCUCUUCAAAUAUUUUUUAUGGCUCUUUCUCUCUCUCUUCUCCUGGCACCCCAUAAUAUAGGUGUUGGUGCAUUUAACUUUGUCCCAGUGUUCUCUCAGACUGUCUUCAUUUCUUUUCAAUCCUUUUUCUGUUUUCUGUUCUACAUCAGUGAUUUCCACUAAUCUGUCCUCCAUCUCAUUUAAUCAUUCUUCCGGCUCCUGUACUCUGCUGUUUGUUGCUUCUAAUGAAUUUUUUAUUUGUUAUUGUAUUUUGCACUUCUGCUUGCUUAAUCCUUAAAUCUUCUAUUUCUUUGCUCAGUGUUUCUUGUAAUUUAUUAGUCUUUGCCUCCAGUUUUAUUUCCAGAUAUUGAAUCAUCUUUACUGUCAUCUGUCUAAAGUCUUUUUUCGUGGAGAUUGGUAAUCUCUAGAUCACUUAGGUGUUUUUCUGGGUUUUUUUUUCUUGCUCCCUUAUUUGAUUCAUAAUUCUUUGUCUUUUCAUUUUCUAUAGAUUUCUGGUGUGGUCUUCUUUUGGCAGACAAUAGAGUUGUAUCCUCUUUUGCUUCUGAUAUCUGCCCCCCUUGAGGCUGAAGUUGGUAUGGAGGCUUAUUGUAAGCUUCCUGAUGGGAGGGACUGGUUCCUGCCCAUUGGUUGAUGGAGCUGAUUUCUAUCACUCUGGUGGGUGGGGCUUUGUCUCUGCAUGAGAUUAAAGGUGCUGUGGGAGCACACGCUGGUGAUUAUUCCCAAGAACCUUUGCCGCCAAUGUCCUUCCCCCACAAGAGCCACAGUCACCCCCCCCCCUAUUUUCCCAGAAGAUCCUCCAAGAACUGCAGUCAGGUCUGACCCAAAUUCCUAUGGAGUCUCUGCUUUGCCCUGGAACCCAGCGUACAUGAAAGUCUGUGUUCACCUUUCAAGAAUGGGGUCUCCAUUUCCUGCAGUCCUGUGGUGCUCCUGUGCACAAGCACCACUGGCCUUCAAUGCCAAACACUCUGGGGGCUCCUUCUCCCAGUGCCAGAUCCCUAGGCAUGGGGAACUGACUUGGGACUCAGAACUCUCACUCCCAUAGCUGAGUCUCUGUGAUAAAGUUACUUCCCAGUCUGUGGGCUGCCAACCUGGUGGGUAUGGGGUUGCUUAUAUCACAUAAUAGCCACUUCUACUGUCUUGAUGUGGCCUCCCCUUUGUCUUCUGGAGUAGGAUAUCUUUUUUGAUAGUUUACUGUCUAUUUGGUUGAAAGUUGUUCAGAAGUUGGUUGUAACUGUGUUGCUUUUAUGAGAAAAGUUGAGCUCCAGUCCUUCUACUCCCGACCAUCUUAAUCCCAUAUCCAUGGUUUUUGUUUUUUAAUAAGUUAAAAACAGAAGGUUUUACAUAAAAAUAAGAAUUCCUGGUUUGUCUUUAAAAAAGAAAAGAAAACAUAUAAUUUUAUCCUCCUCUUCUUUACAGUUGUUCUCAAUUAUUUUAUGUGAAUUUCCAAGAAAUUUUCAGGAAGUGUAUUUUCUAAUUUAGAAAAGAGGGUUGAUUUACACACAAUUGAUCUUCAUUUUAAACAUAUGAACUUAGUGAAAGUGACUAAAAUAUUAUCUGUAAUAUGACAGGAGAAAUAAAAUCCUUGGGAACUAAUCAUUUGAAUCCCAUUAUUCAUUCCACAAAUGCUUAUUGAACAUACUAUACUGUGAGGGUGCUGGACUCAGUGUUUCAUGAACACUCAAGCCAUGAUUUCUAUUAGAAAUGCUUUUAAUAUUCAGAAGAGAAGAGAGCUAUUUUCACAUCCUGUAUAAAACUAUAAGUGGAGUAAAGCCUUUUGUAAAAAGAGCAUCUUACAAGUGCUCCAGAUGCACCUUCUCCCACCUUGUCACUAAAAUACCUCAUCAGCUUUAAAUAGAAUAAAUAUAGCAUCACCAAAAAUUAGGAAUAACAACUAUUGAUAGCAUUUGGAGGAGCUUCCAGUUACUAGAAGUUUCAUGUAGUCAGAAACAGGGCAGACUGGCCUGGCUGGAAUUACGUAGGAAGCCCUAUCUGGACAUCUUUGUGCAAAAAGAACAAAAUUGGAGCCUUACCUUAUACCAUGU
rnacentral:lncRNA from 1 species